rnacentral:lncRNA from 1 species
UUGGGGGAGUUGGAGGGGAGCAGUGGGGUUUGAACUUGGGACCACACUGUUCACACGCAGGAGGUCACACCGCUUAGUAUCUCCUUGGGGACUAUGCGAACUAAAUAAGUAAUUGAACUAGACAAAACUAGUGGCUGGAGAAUAUUAUUCAGAUAAAUCCGGAUAAGAAUAUUAUAUUAAUACAAUUUUUUUUUUCCUUUUCUUUUUGAGUUGGGAUUAGUUCAAUUUUUUUAUAAUUUAAUUUUUUGAGAGGGGGAUUAGUACAAAUUAAUGACACACCCUUUGUUACUUUGUCAAGAAAGUUGUAAUUUAUCCAACUUUAUUACACUUUACCGCGACAAGCGUUUCAAUUUAUUCCGAGAAUUUAUUCGAGCGCUUUUAAAUAUCUUAUAAUGAUAUAACACCAUAAAUUUGG